rnacentral:rRNA from 1 species
AUUGAACGCUGGCGGCAGGCCUAACACAUGCAAGUCGAGCGGAUGAAGGGAGCUUGCUCCUGGAUUCAGCGGCGGACGGGUGAGUAAUGCCUAGGAAUCUGCCUGGUAGUGGGGGAUAACGUCCGGAAACGGGCGCUAAUACCGCAUACGUCCUGAGGGAGAAAGUGGGGGAUCUUCGGACCUCACGCUAUCAGAUGAGCCUAGGUCGGAUUAGCUAGUUGGUGGGGUAAAGGCCUACCAAGGCGACGAUCCGUAACUGGUCUGAGAGGAUGAUCAGUCACACUGGAACUGGGACACGGUCCAGACCCCUACGGGAGGCAGCAGUGGGGAAUAUUGGACAAUGGGCGAAAGCCUGAUCCAGCCAUGCCGCGUGUGUGAAGAAGGUCUUCGGAUUGUAAAGCACUUUAAGUUGGGAGGAAGGGCAGUAAGUUAAUACCUUGCUGUUUUGACGUUACCAACAGAAUAAGCACCGGCUAACUUCGUG